rnacentral:rRNA from 1 species
UAGGUGUGGGUCUCAUUCCACGAGGUCCGUGCCGCAGCUAACGCAUUAAGUUCCCCGCCUGGGAGUACGGCCGCAAGGCUAAAACUCAAAGGAAUUGACGGGGGCCCGCACAAGCGGCGGAGCAUGUGGAUUAAUUCGAUGCAACGCGAAGAACCUUACCAAGGCUUGACAUAUACCGGAAACAUUCAGAGAUGGGUGCCCCGCAAGGUCGGUAUACAGGUGGUGCAUGGUUGUCGUCAGCUCGUGUCGUGAGAUGUUGGGUUAAGUCCCGCAACGAGCGCAACCCUCGUUCUAUGUUGCCAGCACGUGAUGGUGGGGACUCAUAGGAGACUGCCGGGGUCAACUCGGAGGAAGGUGGGGAUGAGGUCAAAUCAUCAUGCCCCUUAUGUCUUGGGCUUCACACAUGCUACGAUGGCCGGUACAAAGGGCUGCGAUACCGCGAGGUGGAGCGUAUCCCAAAAACCGGCCUCAGUUCGGAUUGGGGUCUGCAACUCGACCCCAUGAAGUUGGAGUCGCUAGUAAUCGCAGAUCAGCAACGCUGCGGUGAAUACGUUCCCGGGCCUUGUACACACCGCCCGUCAAGUCACGAAAGUCGGUAACACCCGAAGCCGGUGGCCCAACCCUUGUGGAGGGAGCCGUCGAAGGUGGGGCUG